AACAGGUAAAAAGCUGAACACAGUGAAGAAUCAAGAACUCUUCUUGGAUCCAUAAAGGAGCUGAGGACACAGAGAAAACCCCUGUUCCCCAGAUUGGAGAGACAAACAAAGCACUGAGGACAGCCUGCAGCCAUUGGCUGGUGAGGAACUGAGGCCUUUUGUCCAACAACUCUUAAAGAACUGAAUCCUGCCAGCAACCAUGAGUAUGAGCUUCAAAGAGGAUUCUUCCCUAGGAAGCCUCAGAAACUUCCUCUGCUCUUUGAUUGGCACCAAUAGUGGUAAUAUGCGGGAAUGGAUAUUUCUUGGUUGCUGAGGGACAUCUGCGGAACAAAGAGAGAAAAAACUAUCUUUCAGCUGGUCAUUGCC